GGGGAAUUGUUCGCAAUGGGCGCAAGCCUGACGACGCAACGCCGCGUGGAGGAUGAAGGUCUUCGGAUUGUAAACUCCUGUUGCUCGGGACGAAAUGCUUCGACCUAACACGUCGAAGUUUGACGGUACCGAGUGAGGAAGCCCCGGCUAACUCUGUGCCAGCAGCCGCGGUAAGACAGAGGGGGCAAGCGUUGUCCGGAGUUACUGGGCGUAAAGCGUGCGUAGGCGGAUGGGUAAGUGGGUCGUGAAAGCGCCGGGCUAAACCGGGCGAGGACGAACUAGACUGCUCGUCUAGAGGCGGAUAGAGGGGUGCGGAAUUCCGGGUGUAGCGGUGAAAUGUGUAGAGAUCCGGAGGAACACCAGUGGUGCAAACGGCGCCCUGGGUCCGCACUGACGCUGAGGCACGAAAGCGUGGGGAGCGAA
rnacentral:rRNA from 1 species